AGUAAUGCUUGGGAAUCUAGCUUAUGGGAGGGGGUAACUACGGGAAACUGUAGCUAAUACCGCGUAGAAUCGAGAGAUGAAAGUGUGGGACCUUCGGGCCACAUGCCAUAGGAUGAGCCCAAGUGGGAUUAGGUAGUUGGUGAGGUAAAGGCUCACCAAGCCGACGAUCUCUAGCUGGUCUGAGAGGAUGACCAGCCACACUGGGACUGAGACACGGCCCAG
rnacentral:rRNA from 1 species